ACCAAAAUAUCUUUCAAACCCAUUUAGAUUGAGUUGCUCUGGUCCUUGAAAUUAACCUUUCUCCAUCCAGCAAACGCCAACGGAUAAGGUUUUUGUGUACAGAAAUAAUACCAUUCGCAUUUUUGUUUACAGAUGUUUGAGUUUUCUAGAUGGUGAACAUCUACUUGAGAUAAACUCAUCUAUAACAUGGCCAAUCAUUGUGCAACUAAACUCACCAGAGCAAAGCUGCAAAAAUUACUGAAAAGAAAAGAAAAAAGAAUGGCUGUCUCUUUGCAAGUUUGCAACCACUGUUCUUAGCAAUAACACUCCUGUUGAUGGCUUCUCUGAUUGGGUCCUUCGAAGCUGCUGGAAUUUCCACCUACUGGGGCUGAAGCGGUACAGAAGGAAGAUUGAUAGAUUUAUGCCGUAAACCAAAAGUUGACUGCACGAAUAUUGCCUUUCUGGAAAAUUUUGGCGGUCGCCAAACACCUCAAUUGAACUUAUCUCAAUGUUGUGCGCCGAGUGAUUGUCCACAACUAAGUUCAGAGUUAGAAGAUUGCCAGAACCAAAGCAUCCAACUGUUAAUUUCUCUCGCAGGACAACCGAACCUUACUUCCAUCGAUGAUGCUCGUGAAGUGGCAUACUAUCUCUGGAACAAUUUCUUAGGUGGUUAUUCAGACUCUCAUCCAUUAGGCAAAACUGUUUUAGAUGGUGUAGAGUUUCAUAUCCAUAGUGGAAACCAGGCAUCCUUGGAUGAUCUUGCUCGGGCACUAUUGGAAUACAAUACCCUGGAGAAGAAGCAGAUGUACUUAGAUGCUGCACCGGAAUGUCCUCUGCCUGUUCAUGCUCUUGACGCUGUUAUCAGAAUUCAGAACUGGCCUUCUUGAUUACGAUUGGGUGGAAUAUUUUGACAAUACCAGUGCUCUCUUCCGGAGUUGGGAUGAUUCGGCUUCGUAUCCAGGCGAUAAUACAUUAUUCUUGGCACUACCUAUAUCCCCUCGUGUCGCACCUGAGGGCAGUUACAUCCCACAUGGCCACAUCAUGUGCUAAUUCGUGACGUUCUUCCCUUUGUGAGGAAGUAUUUUAAUUACAGAGGAAUCAUAAUUUUUCCCUACCUUCAUCAUUCCGUAACUUAUAUUGAAAUAAUCAGUGCUUACGGUAUUAACAAGUUCUAUGCUGCUAUCUGAUCAGUUCCUCUCGUUUUUCUACAGAGAUGAAAUGCAGUCCUGGUUGUUCAUGCCAGCGACAAAAAUGAUAAAUAAAUAAUGGGUUAUCGAUCCCCAGAUUAAAUAAAACUGUUGGUGAUGAAACGCAAUUGUGUUUGAUUUUGAAUUUGUGUCUGUUCUUCGUUAAAACAAAGUGCAAAAAUUAUGGUUGGUUCUAAUUUUCCCUUGUUCUUCAGGGUAAAAAAAAAAGGAGUUGGAGAAGAAAAGAAGAUGCAAAAGGUACUAGAUGAAAACCUAUUUCCAUAUUGCAAAAGGAAUAUAGACAUAGUGACGACAUUCGGUGGUGUCAUAGAUAAGACCAGCCAUGUCUUUAUUGACGAUCUUGGUUUCGUUACAUCAUUAUUGCCAUUAAAAGUUUGGCGCCAACCCCAGGUGAAAGCUAGAAGUCAUAUCAAUGACAAUGUUGUCAUUAUUGGUGUUGCAAUAAGGACAACAACUGAAGUCAUCACUGCUAAUAGGCUGGGGAUUUAUUUAGUGACAGCAUUUGGUCAUCAUAAAUAGUCAUUCUAGUUCAAUGACAGUCUAGGAGAUUUUUUUUUUGCAUUAUUAAUUCACUAUGGGUAUAUGAUUAUUGUGAAUUAAUAAGUAUUGAUUUUAUAUACUUUUGUAUGGCCAUUUAUUUGUGUUUAA